GGGAGGCAGCAGUGGGGAAUCUUGCGCAAUGGGCGAAAGCCUGACGCAGCAACGCCGCGUGUGUGAUGAAGGUCUUCGGAUCGUAAAGCACUGUCGGGAGGGACGAAUAAGUCCGGGGCGAAUAUCCCCGGGCGAUGACGGUACCUCCAAAGGAAGCACCGGCUAACUCUGUGCCAGCAGCCGCGGUAAUACAGAGGGUGCAAGCGUUGUUCGGAAUUAUUGGGCGUAAAGCGCGUGUAGGCGGCCUGGCAAGUUGGGUGUGAAAGCCCUCGGCUUAACCGAGGAAGUGCGCCCAAAACUACUAGGCUUGAGUACCGGAGAGGAUGGUGGAAUUCCCGGUGUAGAGGUGAAAUUCGUAGAUAUCGGGAGGAACACCAGUGGCGAAGGCGACCAUCUGGACGGAUACUGACGCUGAGACGCGAAAGCGUGGGGAGCAAACAGGAUUAGAUACCCGCGUAU
rnacentral:rRNA from 1 species